UAGAGUCACACUACAAUCAGAUAAUGUUUCUGUGGGACACCCAAACUUUCCUGGUGCCCCUUUUUUGUCAUUUUUAUCCCUGGUCUCCCAACUUUAGUAACCACUGUUGUGAUUUCUGUCUCUAUAUUUUGCUUUUUCUAGAAUGUCAUAUCAAUGGAAUCCUAGAAAUGCAAACUUUUGAGUCUGGCUUCUUUCACUUAUAAUGCAUCUGAGAUCCAUCAAUGUCGUCACACGCAUCAGUGCACGCUGAGUCGUAUUCCCUUGUAUAAAUGGAACCCGGUUUAUUGUCUCACCUACUGAAAGGGAGGUUGUUGGGUUGUUUUUAGUGAUGGGACAUCAUGAAUACAACCAGUAGAAACGUUCAUUUACAGAUUUUUUAUAUGAACACAGUGUAGUGUUUCUGAAUUGGAUGAUAAAUACGUGUUUAAUUCUAUAAAAAGCUGUCAAACUGUUUUCCAAAAUAGCUAAUCUAUUUGGAAUUCUCACUAGCAGUAUAUGAGAGUUCCAGUUGUUCCAUCAUAUUCUCACCAUCAUUUGGUAUUGCCUGCCUCCCUCCCUUACUCAAUCUUCUUUUUUCUUUUCUUUUUUUCCAUUAUAUUCUCACCAUUAUUUGGUAUUGCCUGCCUGCCUGCCUGCCUGCUUGCCUUCCUCCCCUCCCUCCCUCUCUCUCCCUUCCCUUCCCUUUUUCCUUCCUUCCUUUCUUUUCCUUUCCUUUCCCUCCCUUCCCCCUCCCUCUUCUCUCCCUCCCUCCCGUCUCUCUCUCUCUCUCUCUCUCUCUCUCUCUCACACACACACACACACACACACGC
rnacentral:lncRNA from 1 species